UACGUAGGGGGCUAGCGUUGUCCGGAAUCAUUGGGCGUAAAGAGCGCGUAGGCGGCCCGGUAAGUCCGCUGUAAAAAGUCCAGGGCUCAACCCUGGAAAGCCGGUGGAUACUGUCGGGCUCGAGUCCGGAAGAGGCGAGUGGAAUUCCUGGUGUAGCGGUGGAAUGCGCAGAUAUCAGGAGGAACACCGGUGGCGAAGGCGGCUUCUUGGGCCAUUCUGACGCUGAGGCGCUGAAAGCUAGGGGAGCGAACGGG
rnacentral:rRNA from 1 species